rnacentral:rRNA from 1 species
UAGCCCAGGGAAACCUGGAUUAAUACCGGAUGAGACGGGACCCGCGAUGGCGGGAUCCGGGAAAGGCGCUGCGGCGCCGCCGGGGGGAUGAGUCUGCGUCCCAUUAGCUAGACGGCGGGGUAACGGCCCACCGUGGCGACGAUGGGUAGCCGGCCUGAGAGGGUGGACGGCCACAUUGGAACUGAGACACGGUCCAGACUCCUACGGGAGGCAGCAGCUAAGAAUCUUCCGCAAUGGGCGAAAGCCUGACGGAGCGAACCGCCGCGUGAACGAAGAAGGCCGUGAGGUUGUAAAGUUCUUUUCGGGAGGGGGAACAACCGUGGCAGGGAAUGGCCGCGGGAUGACGUGAAUCCCGGAAUAAGCCCCGGCUAACUACGUGCCAGCAGCCGC